rnacentral:piRNA from 1 species
UGUGAGUGAUUGGACUCGGCAUUUGCCU